GACGGGGGGUCCAAGCGUUACUCGGAAUUACUGGGCGUAAAGCGUGCGCAGGCGGUUUGUUAAGACGGAUGUGAAAUCCCCGGGCUCAACCUGGGAACUGCAUUCGUGACUGGCAGGCUAGAGUAUGGCAGAGGGGGGUGGAAUUCCACGUGUAGCAGUGAAAUGCGUAGAGAUGUGGAGGAACACCGAUGGCGAAGGCAGCCCCCUGGGCCAAUACUGACGCUCAUGCACGAAAGCGUGGGGAGCAAACAGG
rnacentral:rRNA from 1 species